rnacentral:rRNA from 1 species
AUUGAACGCUGGCGGCAGGCCUAACACAUGCAAGUCGAGCGGAUGACGGGAGCUUGCUCCCUGAUUCAGCGGCGGACGGGUGAGUAAUGCCUAGGAAUCUGCCUGGUAGUGGGGGACAACGUUUCGAAAGGAACGCUAAUACCGCAUACGUCCUACGGGAGAAAGCAGGGGACCUUCGGGCCUUGCGCUAUCAGACGAGCCUAGGUCGGAUUAGCUAGUUGGUGGGGUAAUGGCUCACCAAGGCGACGAUCCGUAACUGGUCUGAGAGGAUGAUCAGUCACACUGGAACUGAGACACGGUCCAGACUCCUACGGGAGGCAGCAGUGGGGAAUAUUGGACAAUGGGCGAAAGCCUGAUCCAGCCAUGCCGCGUGUGUGAAGAAGGUCUUCGGAUUGUAAAGCACUUUAAGUUGGGAGGAAGGGCAGUAAGCUAAUACCUUGCUGUUUUGACGUUACCGACAGAAUAAGCACCGGCUAACCCUGUGCCAGCCGCCGCCGUAA